rnacentral:rRNA from 1 species
GAUGAACGCUGGCGGCGUGCCUAAUACAUGCAAGUCGAGCGAACGGACGCGAAGCUUGCUUCUCUGAUGUUAGCGGCGGACGGGUGAGUAACACGUGGAUAACCUACUUAUCAGUCUGGUAUAAUUUCGGGAAACCGGAGCAAAUACCGGAUGAUAUUUUGCACCGCAUGGUUCAAUAGUGAAUGACGGUCUUGCUGUCACUUCUCGAUGGAUCCCGGCUGCAUUAGCUGGUUGUUAAGGUAACGGCUUACCACGGCAACGAGGCAUGGCCGACGUGAGAGGGGGAUCGGCGACACUGGAGCGGAGACACGGUCCAGACUCCUGCGGGAGGCAGCAGUAGGGAAUCUGCCGCAGUGGUCGGAAACCUGACGGAGCAACGGCGCGUGUGAGAUGAAGGUCUUCGGAGCGGGAAACUGUGUUAUGAGGGAAGAACAGAUGUGGAAUGAACCGUACACAGCGUGACGGUACCUAAUCAGAAAGCCACGGCUAACUACGUG